GUUCCGAGAAAUGUGAUCCCUAUCUGCCCCAUCUCACAGAGCUUUUUGAAGUCUACAUUAGAAAGAAAUGCCUAACAAACCCACUUAGUUGAAACCUCUACAUUCAUCAUCUGCUCAGUGUACAAUUUUUGUGUUUUUGAGGUCAGCCUAUAUAUAUCCUGCUGUACUUCCUGUAAGGACCAUCAGCCAUAGGUUUCAGCAGUACUUUUCUAUAGCUUUUCUCAGCAUAGUGUUUGGAAGAAACCUGAUCACCAUUUCACACAGUUCUUGCUGACUACACUGAAGAGCCAACACAAAGAGACAAGAGAAAGCACCAGAGAGAUAUCGCUCACAGCAUGCCCCAAGACCAGAAUUCCCCACACAGUGAAAUCUCUGGCAGUUUAAAUUUUGGAACAUGAAGGAUUCUUCCAGAAUGCCAGCACAGCAUGGGAUUAAUGCAAUGCUGAAUCUGGCAAGACUUAGGUUCCACAGUUCCAUGGAAACCUUUUGCUUUCGGGAGCCCAGGAAGCAUUCCAGGUGAUCCUAAACUGCAGGCAUGGAGAAAAGUGUGGUUGUACAGGCUGCCUGGAGUAGAUACUGAAGAGGAGUUUCUACUCCGUUAUGGUGCUGGAAGAUUAGAGUUAAAGCAUGGAUUCUGUGUAUCUGACACAGGUCCUUCCAUCCUUUACAAAAUCAAGAGUGGCAGGGGCCUUGCCAAAAGGUUAAACAGAAGGGGUCCAAUAGGCCUCAAAGCAUAGUAUAUGAUGCAUGCACGCAUAACCAGGGCUGUUGCUACAAAAUCUGCAGUGGAGUAUGUGCAACAUUUGAGGUAGGUACCAAGCCACCACGAUGGGGCAAGCACUAUCAGUUAGGUAGAAGGGAGACCCCAUUUCAUUCCUUGCACCAGAGCUCAUGCCAAUUGCACUGUACCCACAGAACCACCUAGCAUAUGUUCCCUCCUGCCUCUACUACCAAUGAAUGCCCUUAAACCACUUCAGGUAAUAUAGCUGUGCCUAAAUAUACUCAUAACCAUAACUGUCCUUGUGAAAAAGAAAAAAAGGGUAACACAAUGAAACCUCGACGUGGCAGAAAAUGUGCAAAGCACAGUGGAUGUAGUCAUGUACUUUAAGUUACACUGAAUAGAAUGUGCAAUUUACACAUGUUGCUGUGUUAGUAGAUAAUUAUUUUCAACAUAUCUGAUACCAUGUUAAGUUUCCAAUAUCUAGUAUUUUCCAAAGCCACAGACUACAGCUAGAAAGAUUAUUUAAAACAACAUAUUACUCUCAGAUGUGUACAGGGGACUGUUAAGUUCAGCACAACACUUUAAAUCCCAUCAUAAUAAGGAUUUGGAUGUGUGCUAUUACAUCAAAACAGAUAAUGCACAAUACAUUUAAUAAGAAUUAGGCUUGCACAUUUGAGGGAAGAAAUAAAUCCCUGAGGGACGUAAUGUCAAGCCUGAUAUUCAGGCACCUAGCCAUGAACUUUGGUGAACUGCAAUGGAAGGUUUAUAGCAAACAUAAACCAAAAGCAUACUUGUAUUUUCACAAGGAAGAUGACAGACAUCUUUCUCACUGAUUCAACAUUCGUAACUUGCACUGCGAUCAAAAGCUCAGAACCUUUAUAGAAGCCACAUGGCAAUGAAAAAAAAAAAAAAGAAAAAAAGAAAAAAUGAAAAAGAAGAGAAAGUGGAUUGAGUAUCAAACACAUCACAAACCCAGCCAGAGGCUUAGAGUAGCUAACGUGAUACAGAGAUUUGAAGUAUGCAAACAGAAAAUCAGGCUUGCAUGCAGGAUACUCCGAUUCAACUGCAGUUUUUAAGCUCAACAUAAGAAUCUCUAAUAAAUCUAUUUCCUGUAGGACAACAUAAGAUGAUGAUAAAUCUUUAAUUCCUUAUUAUAUCUCUGAACAUAUCCACUUUUUCAGUGGUUUUGGUAGAUCAUACGAAACAAAUAUGUUUAUCCACUAGCAAAAGCAGUCCUGUGCUUCCAUAUUCUACAAAUUUGGGUUGUAUUUAUUCCAAAGAAAACAUAAGCAAAUAAUUAUGGAUAUGGAUGGAAACAACUCCUUUACUUUAUCAUUUCAGGAGAAUCAAAAUGUCAAUCACAGGGUCAUCCAAAUAAAUUGCUCACAAAUUUCAGUAAUAUCACAACAUUAUGUAUUUUCAUCCAGUUACACAAUCAAAUAGUUACACAGGGCUUGGUCUUAGGAACUCACUGCAUUCACAUACCCAGUAAAGUACACAGAAGUUGCAUGUGCAGAAAGCUUUCAGAUUUGAACACACACUUUAGAAUUUUGCACUGUCUUUCCUGAAAACAUGCUAAUUUGUUAUCCUUUUCAUUCAAAUGCCUCUCACUAAUAGCAUUUUAAUUUUAGUGAUUAAGUAAAUUUAUUAGAAUAUUUUAAGACAAAAAGAUGAUAAUGUAUGUUCACUUUAAUGCUGUUUUAAAACAUUAUUUGAUUAUCAGUAAGGAGAAAGCCAUAUUUUUCACAGGGAGUUACCUACCUUGACCUCCUCAGGGCUUCUUCAUCUGGAUCUUGCACUGCAGGCAAAAAAAUGUUUCAGUUAAAAAAGAAAGAAAGGAAGGAAGGAAAGAAUUGGCUUUAGGAUGAAAUUAUAAGUUCUUCAGAAACAUAUCAAAAGCCUAUCUAAAGGUGCAUUCAUGCUGACUUUGCAGCAGUGGAUUUUGUAAGAACAGCAUGAAGAGGAACAGCUCCCUAGAACCAGGACAAAGGAUGUUACUAGGAAAGUAGCUAUUACAACUACUUUCUCAUUCAUUUAUUAGCAGUGUUUCACAGCUGUAGGCAAUGAUUCUACAGAAAGGGCCUGCUGUUUUGUAGGAAAGCAU